rnacentral:rRNA from 1 species
UACGUAGGGUCCGAGCGUUGUCCGGAAUUAUUGGGCGUAAAGGGCUCGUAGGCGGUUUGUUGCGUCGGGAGUGAAAAACUUACAGCUUAACUGUGAGCGUGCUUCCGAUACGGGGCAGACUUGAGGUAUUCAGGGGGAGAACGGAAUUCCUGGUGUAGCGGUGAAAUGCGCAGAUAUCAGGAGGAACACCGGUGGCGAAGGCGGUUCUCUGGGAAUAUCCUGACGCUGAGGAGCGAAAGUGUGGGGGAGCGAACAGG